rnacentral:rRNA from 1 species
CAAGGUUUCCGUAGGUGAACCUGCGGAAGGAUCAUUAUGUAUCUAUGGGACUUCAAAGUGGUCCCUGAUUCAAACCCUCUCUGUGUACCAAUCCAUGUUGCUUUCCUAGGUGGUUGGUCCGAGCUGCCGCCCAACAUUGCCUGCUAGUUAAGUCAAUCUGAGUUGCUAUUAUUGAAACUUGGAACCUGACACUUUCCCGAUAGUGUGAGCUUUAAUGAGUCAGCAAGCUCAAUUGUUCUCCGUCGGGAUGAGCUAUUCAGGUCCCUGGGAAAGGGCCUAUCCAAAGUUAACACUUCAAUCAGCUGUCUGAGUUGGCCGAGUGCCAUAUUCUUUGAACAAGUUAAAACUUUCAACAACGGAUCUCUUGGCUCUCGCAUCGAUGAAGAACGCAGCGAAAUGCGAUAAGUAAUGUGAAUUGCAGAAUUCAGUGAAUCAUCGAAUCUUUGAACGCACAUUGCGCCCCUUGGUAUUCCUUGGGGCAUGCCUGUUCGAGCGUCACUGCAAACCCACUCAUAAAUAUUAUGGUACUGAUGGAAGUGAACCCUGGGCACUAAUAUGCCUAGAUCAUUCCAUUGAAAUGCAUAGGCGGGACGAUCAACCUUCGCAACUGACUUAGUAACUGUUUUCAAGACAAAAACCAGUCACUUGCACGGUUCCAGCCCAGCCUCCAUGGACCUCCAUCCAAGAUGAAUUCUGGGUUGACCUCGGAUCAGG